rnacentral:rRNA from 1 species
AUACGGAGGAUGCGAGCGUUAUCCGGAUUUAUUGGGUUUAAAGGGAGCGUAGGCGGGAGCUUAAGUCAGCGGUUAAAUGGUGCGGCUCAACCGUGCCCUGCCGUUGAAACUGGGUUUCUUGAGAGUGCAAGAGGCGGAUGGAAUUCAUGGUGUAGCGGGGAAAUGCUUAGAUAUCCUGAAGAACUCCGAUUGCGAAGGCAGUCCGCUGGGGCACGUCUGACGCUGAUGCUCGAAGGUGCGGGAAUCAAACAGGAUUAGAUACCCUGGUAGUCCGCACGGUAAACGAUGAUUACCCGCUGUCGGCGGCAGACAGUCGGCGGCCAAGCGAAAGCGAUAAGUAAUCCACCUGGGGAGUACGCCGGCAACGGUGAAACUCAAAGGAAUUGACGGGG